GCUCCCAUGGCGUAGUGGUCACUGCGCUCGCCUUGCACGCGGGAGACCUGGGUUCGAUUCCCGGCGGGGUCA
rfam:Asian citrus Psyllid, Diaphorina citri - Florida Strain, whole genome shotgun sequence.